UACGGAGGGGACUAGCGUUGUUCGGAAUUACUGGGCGUAAAGCGCACGUAGGCGGCUUGUUAAGUCAGGGGUGAAAUCCCGAGGCUCAACCUCGGAACUGCCUUUGAUACUGGCAAUCUCGAGUCCGGAAGAGGUGAGUGGAAUUCCUAGUGUAGAGGUGAAAUUCGUAGAUAUUAGGAAGAACACCAGUGGCGAAGGCGGCUCACUGGUCCGGUACUGACGCUGAGGUGCGAAAGCGUGGGGAGCAAACAGG
rnacentral:rRNA from 1 species